rnacentral:misc_RNA from 1 species
AGAGCCCCCAACGCAGAGCAAUACCCACCACUCUGCUCAAUAAACCCUAGAUCUCUCCACCGUAGCAAUGUCUCUCGACAAAUCCUCUUUAAACCAGACCAAGCCGCUCCGGUGGGGUGAGCUGGACGAGGACGAUGGCGAGGAUUUGGACUUCCUCUUGCCGCCCAAACAAGUAAUCGGUCCCGACGAGAAUGGGAUCAAGAAGGUAAUCGAAUACAAGUUCAACGACGACGGUAAUAAGGUUAAGAUCACCACUACUACCCGUGUCCGGAAGCUCGCCAAGGCUAGGUUGAGUAAGAGAGCUAUGGAACGCAGAAAUUGGGCAAAGUUUGGAGAUGCCGUCCAUGAGGAUGUUGGAAGUAGGCUUACUAUGGUUUCCACCGAGGAGAUCCUGCUUGAAAGACCUAGGGCUCCAGGUUUAUUUCUGUAUAUAAUAUUUGACGUUGGAUUGGUUUUAUUUGAUUUUUUUUUCUUGAUUACUUUGACAGAUGAGGUAGGUAAAUUAAAUUGUUUUAGGCUUUAUUUUUGGUAUGUCUCGCAGUUUCGUUCAGCAAAAGUAUUGAUUUUAUGGCGUUAAUAGGAUUUUAUGUAUAAAGGAUGAAGUUUUGACGUGAUGAUAAUUUCGUUACUUGGAUGCUCUUAUGGAAAAUCAAGGAAAAAUAAGAUAAUUGAAAUUGUUUUGUUUUGGCCUAGAAUUGUUUUAGAUUUAAUGGUUGUGAAAGCUGUGAUCUUUGUUGAAUUGAUUUGGUGAUUUUCUCUUCGGUUGAGAAUUGUGAGGGAGCAAAGGAAAAUAAAUUUGGGUAAUUAUCUGGUUCUUUUGUGUACUAUUAUAUUGGAAUUUCUAUAGUUUUGCAUGACAAGAAUAAUUAGUUUAUAUUACAGAAGCAGGAACUGGGGAUAUAUUGCAUAGAUGAAGUGCAACUAUGUUUUUUUGAGAGAAAAUUUUGAUGAAAAACACUAACUUUAGAAGUGAAUGUUUUGCACACAACUUAUGCUGAGUUGUGUUCAUUAACUUGUCUGGGUUUUAAGCAUUUUAUGCUCAGUGCAACAGAGUGUUGGUGAUGUUUUCCUCCUCUUUUUCCUGUGUUUAAGUGUUUCUAGCUGUGUUUAAUUUGGUUACGUUGUUUGAGUUUACCUCCUUAGGAUUUCAAUGUAUUAUUUGGUUGUGGUGACCAAUUAGCCAAUCACAUAUUAGCCAUGUGGCUUUUAUUUGAUGUGAAUGGUCAGUAAGCUCACCAAAAUUAUGUGUUGGUGGCAUCUAAUGGUGAACAAAAAGUAUGGUUUCUCUUUUUAUGUUACCAACUACAUCCACUGUAAAUGAAUUUUGUAGGACAGUGGUACUGUUGACGUCACUUUCUUGGUAUUAUUUUGUUUCUUACUGUACUGUAUUUCACCAUCUGGUUUAUGUUUGCUGUGUUAAGGUUUGCAUGUUUUAUUUGGUAAUGGACUAAUGGUGGCCAGUUAGCCAAUCACAUAUUGCCUUGAGGCUGUUUUUUUAUGUGAAUUGGCAGUAAGCUCAACAAAAGUAGCUUUCUGUUGAUGGCAUUUCAUGGUGAACUGUAAAUCUGGUUUCACUUUUAGGUCAUCAACCACAUCUGUAAAAUGCUCGGAAAGCAUUAGGACUUGCAUGUUAUUUGGUUAUGGUGGAUAAUUAGCCAAUCAUAUAAUGCUGCAUGGCUGCUGUUGAGUGUGAAUGGUCAGUAAGCCACCAAAACUAGCAACCUGUCGUUGGCCUUUUAUGGUUAUCAAGAAUUUUGGUUUUCCUUUUGAGAUCAUCAAGUACAUUUGUAAGAUGUUCGAUCUUUCACUAGGACUUGCUUUAUUCGGUUAUGGUGGCCAAUUACACUUUUGUCUUCACUUUGAUAGCACAACACUCCAAAAGUGUCAUUGAACCUUUGACCUUCUGAUCUCAAAGGGACAAUCUUCUUGUUGUGCUAUGUUGCAGCAUAUUCUACUUAAAUAUCUACACCACUUAUUAUUCUGGUCUUGAUUUUUGGUUUUUAAUAGAACUUUUCAUCUGAUAGUUCUUUUGUUUUCAGAAUUCUUACUUUGGCUAAGCUUCUCAUCUAGGAUAAUCCUGUGAUUGUAGCUAUCUUUUAUUGAUGAUAGUUUAUGU